rnacentral:ncRNA from 12 species
UCAUAACGGGUCUGUGGUUGAAAGUCGAUGCCAGAUGCAGGCAAAGCGAUCCACGUAAGCAUUUCAUUGAAAUGUGAUCAUGGUGCAUCUUAGAUGUAAGACCUGCCGGGAGACCGAGAGGCUGAGUAGUGGGGGCCAUUGGCUAGGAGCGAAAUGUCCAGCAGGCGAGUGUGGGGGCAAAAACCAGGUCAGCCGUUGCGC